ACACAUGCAAGUCGAGCGAGAAAGUGUAGCAAUACAUGAGUACAGCGGCGCACGGGUGAGUAACACGUGGGUAAUCUGCCCUAGAGUGGGGAAUAACACCGGGAAACCGGUGCUAAUACCGCAUACGAUCACGAUGUCUGCGGAUGUUGUGAUGAAAGGAGCAAUUCGCUCUUGGAGGAGCCCGCGGCUGAUUAGCUAGUUGGUAAGGUAACGGCUUACCAAGGCAACGAUCAGUAGCCGGUCUGAGAGGACGGUCGGCCACACUGGAACUGAGACACGGUCCAGACUCCUACGGGAGGCAGCAGUAGGGAAUUUUUCGCAAUGGGGGCAACCCUGACGAAGCAACGCCGCGUGGGUGAUGAAGUCUCUUGGGACGUAAAACCCUUUCGACGGGGAAGAAACCGCAAGGUUGACGGUACCCGUAGAAGAAGCCCCGGCUAACUCCGUGCCAGCAGCCGCGGUAAUACGGGGGGGGCAAGCGUUGUUCGGAAUUACUGGGCGUAAAGGGCGCGUAGGCGGUUUGCUAAGUUGAAUGUGAAAACUCUGGGCUUAACCCAGAGCCUGCAUUCAAUACUGGCAGGCUAGAGUUCUGGAGGGGAUAGCGGAAUUCCUGGUGUAGCGGUGAAAUGCGUAGAU
rnacentral:rRNA from 1 species